UUUCAUCAUCAAGAGUUGGGAAGACGCCCAACGCCAACCUGCCGAUCCGGGCAAGGUGGUACUCCGACAGAUGGGGGAUGUGGCCGAACCGGCAACCAAGCGGAACGGA
rnacentral:ncRNA from 2 species